rnacentral:lncRNA from 1 species
CACCAUUCACAAUGUUAUCGAUAGAUGAUGCCGCGAGUUUUGCCUGUUCCUGCUUCAAGAUCAUGUCCUUGUGGCACUUGGAGCACAUGUUCAUGGUGGCUGCACUGCCAAAGAAGCCACAGUUGUUGACACAAAGAAUGGGGCCUUCUGGAGCUUGGCAGCCUGUCUCUUUGGAAGACUCCAUCUAUUCAACUAUCCUGCACAAAAGAAUCUUAAUAUCCACAUAAAUGAUAUAAACAAUCCCACAACGACUUCCAUUACUCGUGCACACAUAUACAUUCAGAAAAUCAUUUAAGCAUGACCCAAAAGUCAAAAAGCACAUGCAACCAUCUCUAAAUGAGUCAUGAACAUUACAACAAUGUGGAAUGCUAUAAGAGGUGUCGCCCACAUGAGAUCCAACUAUCAAAACAUAAACUUUCUCAUACAGCAAUAGUUGAUUUGCUAUAUUCCACAUAAAUUGGUAAAUUAUCCUCCAAUGACGCAUAUUUGUGGAAGUUAUGAUGGUGAUUAUAUCAAUUACGCCAAACGCAACUACAGAGGCUCUUACUAGAUAGGGAAGCAGAAAGUCAAUUAACCAAAAUAAUUUUAGCCAGGAAGCAAAAUCUGAGGUUAGUCUGAGAGAUAGAAAAAAGAGGUUUGUGAUAUGUUCAAAGUAAAAGGGGAAGGAAGAGAAGAGGUCUUUACUCCAGAGAGAGAGAGAGAGAGAAAAGAAGAGGAGACAACAGAGUAGCUUAUGACUUCAUUAUGACACUUUCUUCCUUUCCUAUAGAAGAGUUCACUGGUACAUCAACCAAGACCCUUGGGCUUUCACUUUGUGCACAGCCAAGCACAAGGAUCAAAAUGCAGCUCCCCUUUCUCGAGGGAGAUCAGAUCCACUAAAUAAACUUGCAGUAAAUGGUGAAGUACUCUUUACGAGGUGUUUCAAAUUUUAGAUUGAAGGUGAAAACGGAAUGCUAAUUUCCUACUUUCUAUAUUAUAAAUGCAAGUUGAAGGACAACUAUAUUAAUACCUAGCUUAGAGAAUGCAUAAUAAUUCUACUUACUAGCACCUCGUUCUCUUCUCCUUACCCCAAUAUUGUUUCUUUGUUAAUUGUAACCCAUCAAUUAGAGUUUUGCACACUAUCUUUUGUUUCUCUUGACAAUCAGUUUGUUGCUAAGGUUCACCAUAAGAAUAAAGCACAUAGGUAUAAAGUUCAUGACAUAAUUUAUAAAUUAUUGAAAGCAUUGAAUGGGCUACAUAUGCUUUUGGAAUUACUUUCAUUAUUGUUCAUAUAUGCAUAUGUGCAAAUACAAGAUGAAAGAUAUGAGGGAGGGAGGGAGGGAGGGAGGGAGGGAAAAUAAAGGAAAAGAUAGGUAAACUAAAUUUUCUUACAGAGCUAAAAACAUGAUUAGAUAUAAUUAACCAUUAUGGUUACUUUACGAUUUUCCACAGGCUUUUACUUUAACAAAACCAAUCUCUACCUACCCCUAGGGAGAUAUCACCAUCCACCCCUCUUACAGAACAAAACAUAAGAGAGAAGCAAAACAUCAGCUAGUAUGGUAAUUUUUUCUUGAAGCAAUCAGUUCUACUCUACCCAAUACAAAGAAAUUCAAUUUCUUGAAAUGCCUGGCUUGGCCUGGCCUGGCCUGGCUGCUCUUCUUUUGAAUCUUCUCGUCCCCAAGGGUAAUACAAAGAGCUGCUUCACCUCGGCUUGGGUUGGGCUGCUAUCUCAAUGAUGUGAGUAGAAGCCCUUCUUUUUGGAGUUGGAUCCCCUCUUACAGAACAGACCAUAAGAGAGAAGCAAAACAUCAGCUAGUAUGGUAAUUUUUUCUUGAAGCAAUCAGUUCUACUGUACCCAAUAAUAUUACGUUGCUAACAUACAUGGUAAAUUUAUAUCCAAGUAGUGCCACCCUUUUAACUUUACUAAGUACCAUCUAACAGAAGUACAUUUAAUAACUUCCAAUAAUAUAACCAGACCAGUUAGCAACAGUGAAAUUGAUUAAUUGUCAAUUAACAUUACAGUUCAAUUCCUAGCAAACCCUUUUGUCCCGUCUCUCUCCUUCAAACAGCCUAUAAUGAUUCCAUUUCAAAGAGGGCAUUCGAUGCAACAGAUUCUCCUUGGAACUUAGAGUGGGAGGGGGAAUAUAAAAUCAUCAUAUCCUGUAGAAUAUUUUUACAACUUUAUGCAACCAUAUUUACUGAGUUAGCCAGCCUAUAUUAAUUUGGCAAACCUUUCAAGGCAGUCACCAAUUAUUAGGCAGAGCUUUAUUGAGAAUUUUUCUGUGAAUGGAAGACUCGACCUACGUUACUGGUUCACAUGAGUGUGAACUACUAAAUGUUUUGACUAAGAAACCAUGUAAAGAAGAAUUGAUCAACUUAUACACGAGACGACUGUUCUAAAAAUUCCCGCCUAGGUCUGCCUAAGCCCCGCCUAGGCGCUAGGCCCCCCUGACACCUCACCUAGGCCUAAGGCAGCAAAAAAAUCCCUUCAAGAAAUUAGGUGGAGCCUAGACGGAGAAUUUUUUUUUUUUUUAAUAACUACCUAAACCAGAUCUUGAUAUAUUUAUUUUUCUAAUGAUUUAUCAUAUUCAUAAUACAGGUUAUAGUAUAUCAAAUCACAACAAGAAGUAAACAAUAUCAAGUCAAAAUUGAUAAUUUUAUUAUAAUUGUAAUUUUUUAAAUUUGUGCCAACUUCAAAUUAUAUAAAUGAUGAUACAUUUGUAAUAUUUAGUUUAAUUUAUUAGUUUCUUAAGUUUUAAUAUUGAAUUAAAUUCUUGAAAUUUUAAAUUUUAUUAUUUAAUAGCAAUCUUGUUUAUGAAUAAAACUAAUACGUUAAAAAUAUGUUUGAACUUUGAACAAUUGCAUGUUUGUGUUUGAUCUUUGACAUUAGCAAUAUGGAUAUGUGUUUGAACUUUAAGCAAAGACCUUUAUUAUCUUUAAUAUAGAUUGUUUUGUUUUAUAUUAUUGUUUUGUUUGGAUAAAUAUGAGAUAAAAUAUUAAAAUUGGCUUAAAAUAAAAAAUUACGCCUAGGCUAGGCGCUAGGCCCCCCUCGGCCGCCCGCCUCCCGCCUUUUAGAACAUUUGUAGGUUAGUAGUUUUACUUUUCAGCAUUCUCUCUCUAUAAAUAGUUGUAUUUGAGAAUUAUUUUCCAAGCAUUAUAAACCUACACUACUUUUCUUAUCCUUCACUCAAAUAUAACAAACUACCCCAUGUGCUCACAAUCACUCAAAAUGUACUACCUACUAGAAUAUACUAAUUAUUCAUUUGUUGUCCAAAAUACCCUCUGCCUGACAGUGAAAAGGUGCAAUUUGGCACCAUUGAGAGGCCCGAGAAAGACUUCCUAGCUCUUAAAAGUUGUAUAGAGUAACAAGCUUCUCUCUCUCUCACUUAUCUCUCUUGCUCUCUGAAAAGGUGCAGUUUGGUAGCAUUAAGAAUCCCAAGAAAGACUUCCUAGCUCUUAAAAGUUGUAUCAAAGUUGCGCACAUCUCUCUCUCAACUCGGCAACACUGAGUGGCCCAAGAAAGACUCCCCUUCCCCCUCUCUCACUCACACAAACACAAACACAAUGCAAAGAUGGUAAUGUGCAACUACAAAUCACAAUUAAAACCAUAACCAAUAUUUUUUUCCCAUAAAUAUAAAUUUUCAGAAUUGCUGAGUUAUGGGUAGCAAUAAUGAUUGUAUAACUCAAACCCAACAAUGAAUGUGCACAGUGUAUACUACUAGCAACGACUGGCUAACACACCAUUUCCAAAAUACAGGGGAACCACAACAAUUUGAAAAAUACAAGGGUCACUGAUGAGGACAUGACAUGCGUGAAUUCAAACAAGACUAAAGGGACGUGGGGAUCAAGCAAAGCUAGAACAAAGAGGUUCAAACAAGGUCUCAAUGGAUUGAUCCAAGAUGUUUGGGCUGAAGCUAACGCAAGAAAAUCCAAAGAGGAAGCUAGUGAGCAUGAGACACAAAUUUGGGUCAAUUUAAUACAACCCCAAUUCUAAUCAUCUUAGCAAAGCCAACAUAUUUUACAUACAAAGGAGUAUUAUGUUAUUUUGCAAAGUGGGCCGUCUCAAAUUAGUAUCCAGCAAGCAAAAUACUUAAAUUCAUGAUGCCAUGCACGAAUUCUCAAGUUAAGGUCAAUAAGUGAUCUGGUGGUUGCAUGUUCAACAUAUUCCUUUUUGUGGGCCACAUUAAUUUACAUAUCAACAAUCAUAAAGCUGGAUAUCAUGUAAAGUCCUAGCAGUACAUAGAGUCUUGGCUUGCAAGGGAAUUUCGGUAAUUAAUUUAAGGUUCGGUAAUGAUCUGUUUCACGCGGCACGUUAUCAGCUUAGUCACGCGGUAAAAGAAAUCCCAUGCGGUGAAGGAUUUUAUUUUUUUUAUUUGGAUUCUUAAUUUUAAAUUCUAUUGUAAUUAGGAUUUCUUUUUAAUUAGAAUUUCUUUUCCAAUUUAAUUUCUAUUUCCUCAUAGAAAUUAGGGUUAUAGUUUAUAAAUUCCUAUUAGAAUUUGGAUUGUUUUGAGUAGUAUAAAUAGAGGUCUAAGUUGAUGUAAUCAAACACAUUAUUCAUUAUUCAAUAUAUUUGUGAGGUUAUUCUCUACUUUUGGUUCUUUGAAGAAUUUCUAAGUAUUUUUUUAGUUAUUUCUUUGAGAUUCAAUUUGACUUAUCAUACAAAAAUUCAUAGUUGUGUGUGGCGUCUUCUACCGCAUCAAUCGUCGAUUGUACCGAAAUUACCGCUUCAAUAUAAGCGAGGGGUCAAGGUGUCGUUGGUGUCCAUUCAACGUAGAAUUCCGAACACGAGCAAUUAUACCAAGAUUACCGUCUACAUAUAGGCGAGGGGUUAAGGUGUCGCAAACAAUCCAUCCUACAACUUUGCUAGAAACGAUCGGGGCGACGAUCACCUCAAGCAGGCGUGCCGUGGAGUCUAUCAGUCACCCACCACAGUGCAAAUGAAAUGAAGACCUAUUAAAUUCCUUCAUUUAAAAUUGGUUCCUUUCAUAGAGUAAACACUCCAACAAAACCAAAAAAGAAUUUUCAAAAAAUGAACUAAACUAUUCCAUCUCCCAAAACCCCUUAUUAUCUGAAACAAGGAAUAAACUUUCAUAUAUAAGAAACCCCCACACUUAAAAAUUACCAAAAGCAUCAUGAUAUAUAAAAAUUAAGCUACACAGCAUAUGAGCAUACCGUGUGUAAAUAUAAUCAUUUCGGCACAAUUAUACAGACAGAAGAAAUAUAUGACAGAAACAAACCCUAAUCGGAAGAGUAAAGUCUCACCGCACUUCAAAACGACAACUUUUUGGCUGAUCUUGACUCGUAAAAUCGAACCAGAUAUGAUUAUUACUGACGAAGAAAUUAGAAAAAGGAAACGAAUGAAUAAAAAUCCCUAAAUCGAGAUCAAGAGAUGGAGAAUAUAUGAGUACCUUGAAUCAAAACAUAUAAUCGUGGUGAUAAUCCGAAAAAUCGAGAGGUGGCGGUGGCGGUGGCGGUGGCGUGGCCCCGGUGAGAAAUAGGUGUCGACACUCGACAGCGAGAGAGGUGUUUGAUUUUUUAUGGUAUUCUUCGUAAUUUGUCCUAUUUAUUCACUCGCUUAAAACUUUUUAAUCUGAAAUUAAGGCUUUUGUAUGGAGUCG